UUCCAGACUCCUACGGGAGGCAGCAGUGAGGAAUAUUGGUCAAUGGGCGGGAGCCUGAACCAGCCAAGUCGCGUGAGGGAAGACGGUCCUACGGAUUGUAAACCUCUUUUGCCGGGGAGCAACGGGGUCCUUGCGAGGGCCCGAUGAGAGUACCCGGAGAAAAAGCAUCGGCUAACUCCGUGCCAGCAGCCGCGGUAAUACGGAGGAUGCGAGCGUUAUCCGGAUUUAUUGGGUUUAAAGGGUGCGUAGGCGGACUCUUAAGUCAGCGGUAAAAUUGCGGGGCUCAACCUCGUCGAGCCGUUGAAACUGGGUGCCUUGAGUGGGCGAGAAGUACGCGGAAUGCGUGGUGUAGCGGUGAAAUGCAUAGAUAUCACGCAGAACUCCGAUUGCGAAGGCAGCAUACCGGCGCGCAACUGACGCUCAUGCACGGAAGCGUGGGUAUCGAACAGGAUUAGAUACCCCAGUAC
rnacentral:rRNA from 1 species